rnacentral:rRNA from 1 species
CCGGCCUGAGAGGGCGACCGGCCACACUGGGACUGAGACACGGCCCAGACUCCUACGGGAGGCAGCAGUGGGGAAUAUUGCACAAUGGGCGAAAGCCUGAUGCAGCGACGCCGCGUGAGGGAUGACGGCCUUCGGGUUGUAAACCUCUUUCAGCAGGGAAGAAGCGAAAGUGACGGUACCUGCAGAAGAAGCGCCGGCUAACUACGUGCCAGCAGCCGCGGUAAUACGUAGGGCGCAAGCGUUGUCCGGAAUUAUUGGGCGUAAAGAGCUCGUAGGCGGCUUGUCACGUCGGGUGUGAAAGCCCGGGGCUUAACCCCGGGUCUGCAUCCGAUACGGGCAGGCUAGAGUGUGGUAGGGGAGAUCGGAAUUCCUGGUGUAGCGGUGAAAUGCGCAGAUAUCAGGAGGAACACCGGUGGCGAA